GAUGAAGAACGUAGCGAAAUGCGAUACGUAAUGUGAAUUGCAGAAUUCAGUGAAUCAUCGAAUCUUUGAACGCACAUUGCACUCUCUGGUAUUCCGGAGAGUAUGCUUGUUUGAGUAUCUGUAAACAUCUCAAAUCUCUCUUCAAUUGCUUCAAUUGGGUCGAGAGAAUUGGAUUUGAGCGAUCCCGACUCCUUCGUCAGAAAGAGGAGGGUCGCUUGAAAUGCAGGUGCAGCUGGACAUUCUUCUGAGCAAAAAGCAUAUCUAUUUAGUCCCGUCAAACGGAUUAUUACUUUUGCUUCAGCUAAUAUAAAGGUUGAAUGAACUACCAACGCUGAUUGCAGGAAAACAUGUUCGUUUAUUCGGACUUGUAAACUCGACCUCAAAUCAAGUAAGACUACCCGCUGAACUUAAGCAUAUCAAUAAGCGGAGGA
rnacentral:misc_RNA from 1 species